rnacentral:misc_RNA from 1 species
UUUGUAUUUUUUUUUUUUUUUCCUUACCAAACCCAGUUGCUAAUGCUAAGUGCAUUAAGGCGUAUGAGGCUAAACAAUAUGCUGAGCUGGAAAAAUUGGACUUGCUGUUUAAAAACAAAACUUCAGGGCUUAAUCAGUCAAAACAACAGAUUAAGGAUCCAUAGGUUUUUCCCAUAACAGUAAGGGUUAUUUUCAUGCAUUUGGCCAAAAGAAAAAGUUUACUUCUUGAAAUUCAACCUGUUUUAACAUAGGAUCUCUAGGAGACACAGGAAUCUCAAAAGCUGUAUGCAGAAAGUAUUUUUUGACCCCAGCAUCUCAAAAUGUAGGAAAUAAUAAACCAGCAAUAUUUAGCUACUCUAGUAACACACAUGAAGAAGAUUUAUCAUAUUCCACCAAAGUACACAAGAACUUGUGAUAUCAGGCAAUUUCUAUAAUCAUUUGCAUCAGAUCGAGAUAUCAUUCAGCAACUGGUAUCGAAAUCUGCAAUAAUAAAUGACUUAC